GACGAACGCUGGCGGCGUGCCUAAUACAUGCAAGUUGAGCGCUGAAGGUUGGUACUUGUACCAACUGGAUGAGCAGCGAACGGGUGAGUAACGCGUGGGGAAUCUGCCUUUGAGCGGGGGACAACAUUUGGAAACGAAUGCUAAUACCGCAUAAAAACUUUAAACACAAGUUUUAAGUUUGAAAGAUGCAAUUGCAUCACUCAAAGAUGAUCCCGCGUUGUAUUAGCUAGUUGGUGAGGUAAAGGCUCACCAAGGCGAUGAUACAUAGCCGACCUGAGAGGGUGAUCGGCCACAGUGGGACUGAGACACGGCCCAAACUCCUACGGGAGGCAGCAGUAGGGAAUCUUCGGCAAUGGACGAAAGUCUGACCGAGCAACGCCGCGGGAGUGAAGAAGGGUGUCGGAUCGUAAAACUCUGUUGGUAGAGAAGAACGUUGGUGAGAGUGGAAAGCUCAUCAAGUGACGGUAACUACACAGAAAGGGACGGCUAACUACGUG
rnacentral:rRNA from 1 species